rnacentral:piRNA from 1 species
UCUUGAGCAGCAUGUCCAGUACACGUGCAC